AGAAUCAACGCUGGCGGCGUGCCUAACACAUGCAAGUCGAACGAGAAAGUGGAGCAAUCCAUGAGUAAAGUGGCGCACGGGUGAGUAACACGUGACUAACCUACCCUCGAGUGGGGAAUAACUUCGGGAAACCGAGGCUAAUACCGCAUAAUACCUAAGGGUCAAAGGAGCAAUCCGUUUGAGGAGGGGGUCGCGGCAGAUUAGUUAGUUGGCGGGGUAAUGGCCCACCAAGACGAUGAUCUGUAUCCGGCCUGAGAGGGCGCACGGACACACUGGAACUGAAACACGGUCCAGACUCCUACGGGAGGCAGCAGUGGGGAAUUUUGCGCAAUGGGGGAAACCCUGACGCAGCAACGCCGCGUGGAGGAUGAAAUCCCUUGGGAUGUAAACUCCUUUCGAUCGGGAAGAUAAUGACGGUACCGGAAGAAGAAGCCCCGGCUAACUUCGCGCCAGCAGCCGC
rnacentral:rRNA from 1 species